rnacentral:rRNA from 1 species
CUAGCGACUUCAGAGUUUGAUCCUGGCUCAGGAUGAACGCUGGCGGCGUGCUUAACACAUGCAAGUCGAACGAGGCUCAUCUGUGGAAGUUUUCGGAUGGAAACGGAUGUGACCGAGUGGCGGACGGGUGAGUAACGCGUGGGGAACCUGCCCCAUUCCGGGGGAUACCAGUUGGAAACGACUGUUAAUACCGCAUAAGCGCACGGGAAGGCAUCUUCCAGUGUGAAAAAACUGAGGUGGAAUGGGAUGGCCCCGCGUCUGAUUAGCCAGUUGGCAGGGUAACGGCCUACCAAAGCGACGAUCAGUAGCCGGCCUGAGAGGGCGACCGGCCACAUUGGGACUGAGACACGGCCCAG